CUGAAGCCAGGUCGCACUGGGUGCCACGCGCAUGUCUUCCUCUCCCCCACACGCCUCCUGCUAUUCCUCCUCGCAAAUCCUAGCAGCGGCGGCGGCUUGAUGCGGGAGAUGGCAGUUGCGGCAGCACCCCAGCCGACAUCGAGCACACGGGACAUCCGCAUGUCGCUUCUUCGCAUUCUUCUCGUCCGCUGGUACACCGUGGGGAAGCAACGACUAUGGCUUCACAGGUAAGCCAGCCUCGUCCACAACCUUGUUCCUGUCUCCUUCCUUUUUGAUCAUCUCGUCCACAAGGAAGCGACGGCCGCGGUGCGGACAAUCGACGGAAAGUAGGCAGGGAAGAUUCGAUGGUGGAGCCACGGUGGAUGAAGCAACGACGCACAUGAGCUUUCUCGCACAGCCAGCUUGCUGCAGUUAAUGAAGAACGAGAUAGCUUAUGGAAGGACCAUGCUAUAUUGCUACUUUGACUGAAUAAAUGGAUGCGAAUGCUAGAGCCAUACAAGUAAACUCUUGGAGCAUGAACAAAAAUUAUCUGCUUAUGUCGGCAUUUUGGGAAUGAGGGUACCCAGACUUGCCUACCUACGGCCCAUGGCAUGGCUCUGUCGAUGGCCUGGUACGGUCCAUAUUCAGCACCAACAACACAAGACCCUCAUGAGGUGGACGACGCCAAGACCUCCAAAAGGAGCGGCCUCCUUAGGCUGGCUCCUGAGGAGCAAAGAUUUCUAUGCAAGCCCUCACCUCGUGAGGUUCGGAUGACGCAAGCCAUGACGACCGAGGCCAGACGGGCGCCAACGGGCGCAAUACAACAGGCUUCCUCUUUGGUGGUAAAGAGGCAAGUGCAGGCGCGGAGUCCUGAGAAAUCGGCCAAAGGUUUCCAUUUCUAUGCAACAUGACCAAGACCGCCAGGACGGCAGGACGGAGGUCAUCGCCAAGCCCACCACGGCGUCACGACCAGAAACUUUGUAGGCAAAGACCACCUUUCGUUGGGAUAAGAUGUACUAAUUGUCUCCCUUCGAAUUUGGCCGUUGUGGGAUCCCUUCUCGCCUUCAUUUUGGGGGAAGAGGACCAAUGCCACUAUAAAUAUAGCCUAGCCACCACCAAAGCAGGGGGACGAAGCAGAGGGGACAAGGCAGAGACGAUGAGGCAGAGACAGACGGAUCAUUUAGACCAUCAUCUCCCUCACCAGCACAAGAACACACCUCCUAAGGUUGUUCUCCCACUAUACUAGUUCAUCCUCAGCCCACCUUGAGGCCAAUCCACCACAAUGCAGGAGUAGGGUAUUACACCGCAAGGUGGCCCGAACCUGGGUAAACUGCCUUGUUCCAUUUCCUUCCAGUUCAUCGAGCUAGGCUGUGAGAUCGACGAUUUGGCAGACCCGGGAGGUUGAGUUCUUCGCACGCACCCUAGAAUUCGAAUCUAUCAAGGAUAUGCGGAGCCCAGAAUCUGACAUUUGGCACGCCAGGUAGGAGUGUGUCGGAGCCUCUCUUCCUCCGGUCGAUCCGCCACCAUUCUGUCGUCCCCAUGGCUGAUGCUCGUCGAGUUCGUGUUGAGCAUCAGGCCGCCCUCACCGCACGUGUCGCCCAUAUGGCGCCUGCGGGCGAUGGUGCUCCCCGCCAUUCCCCAUCGCCCGCGGCCAACGCCGCCACCAGCCCUGCGGCCCAUGAGCAGCAGGCUUCCUUGCUGCAGCCUUCUGUGCGGCCUGAUGGGCGCACUGCCACUCCGUCGCUGACUCCGGCGGCUGCUUCAU